rfam:Hordeum vulgare subsp. vulgare, WGS project CAJW01000000 data, contig: morex_contig_160682
CUUAUACCUCCUCCGUCUUAAAAAAUUUGUCUUAUCUUUGUUUAGAAAUAGAUGUAUCUAAAUACUAAAACUUGGUUAGAUACAUUCAUAUAUAAACAAACCUAAAACAAAAAUUUUGGGACGAAGGGAGUAUUUG